rnacentral:rRNA from 1 species
UAACACAGAUAGCUCUCUGCAACUCUCACAUGGUCGCCCACUGAAGCUAAGCAGGGCUGCGCCCGGUCAGUACCUGGAUGGGAGACCACUUGGGAAAGCUAGGUUGCUGC